AUGACGACGAGCGGCUGGGCGUCCCUCCCCGGGGACAUCGCCGACCUCAUCUCCCUGCGGCUGCUCGCAGAGGACGUGACAGAAUACAUCAGAUUCCGCGCCGUGUGCUCGCCGUGGCGAUCGUCAACGGCCAGCCCACGAGACGCGACCCUGUUGGACAGGCGCUUCAGCCCGCGCGGAUGGGUCGCGCUCUGCGACGUCGACGGGGUGCCGGUGACAGCCGCGUGCAAGAUCACCUUCUUCCACACAUCCACCGGCCAGCGCCUCGCCGUCCGCCUGCCGGAGCUCCACCGCCAAAAGAUUGUCGGCGUCACUGACGGCCUCAUCGUCACGCUGGACAAGGACAGCUCCGUGGUGCGCGUGCUCCACCCCUUCACGCGCGUCACUGUCGAGCUCCCUCCCCUUGCCACCAUAUUCCACACUGAGAUCAACAACUUCACCUCGCUGCUGUCGAUGGGCGCCGCUGUCUGCCGCGCCGACACAUCGAUCGCCGUCGUGGCAUGGUUAACCAGCGCAAAGAUGGUUAUGAGUGCGCGCCAAGGCCGCCCUAGCUGGGCGGUGAACCAUCGAGACAUCACGCUCCACAACACCCUGCCCUUCCAAGGCCGGCUGUACGGCACCACACCGGCGUCAGAGCAGCUCGUUCAGCUCUACCCGCCAAAUCCAUGCGGGGCAGUCGUCGCUCAUGUCCCGCACGAGUUGGUCCACAUAUUCAGAUCCUCCUACUUCCUCGUGGAGUCCGGCGGGCGCAUGCUGCUGGCCGUGCAGCAUCAUCGAAGGGGCCAUGCCAUUCGCCCUGAGAUGGAGUGGUGGCGACACUUCACCGUCACGCUGUUUCAGGUGAACCUGCAUGGCGGGGAGCUCAUUCCGGUGAACGGCCUUGGCGACGAGGCCGUGUUCCUAGGGAAAGACCGCUGCCUGUCGAUCUCCGCCACGAACCUCCCUUGCAUCAGCCGCAACUCCGUUUACUCAUAUGUAUCAAACAAGGAUCCCGUUGUGUUGCAUUCUCUGGGCGGUGGUUCUUCCGAGCAGACAACGAUGUACACGAGGGUGCAUUAUUCGAAUGAGAUGGUUCGUCCAUCCGUGCGGCCUUUCACGCUCCCAGAUCAUCUUAUGACAUACUGUCAUAAUCUUCAAUGGACAAGGGGGCUGAUGCUUCAUGAAUAUGCUGCCAUUCCUUCAUAUCUGAGUGAUCUGCGAGAGAAAAUACACGCACACGAAUCUGAUAUCAGGUUCCCGUAUAUAGGGGACGUUGGCAAAAAGGCUAAGACCAAGCGUGUUCGUGCUGUUGUGAAGAAGAACCAGCCCCUCUGUGCUUAG
rnacentral:rRNA from 1 species